rnacentral:RNase_P_RNA from 1 species
CCGGGUAGGCUGCUUGAGCCAGUGAGCGAUUGCUGGCCUAGAUGAAUGACAGCCCACGACCAGUGCAACAGAGAGCAAACCGCCGAUGGCCCGCGCAAGCGGGAUCAGGUAAGGGUGAAAGGGUGCGGUAAGAGCGCACCGCGCGGCUGGUAACAGUCCGCGGCACGGUAAACUCCACCCGGAGCAAGGCCAAAUAGGGGUUCAUAAGGUACGGCCCGUACUGAACCCGGGUAGGCUGCUUGAGCCAGUGAGCGAUUGCUGGCCUAGAUGAAUGAC